GGAAGUAAAAGUCGCAACAAGGUUUCCGUAGGUGAACCUGCGGAAGGAUCAUUACAGUGUUCUCUGCCCUCACGGGUAGAAACGCCCACCCUUGUGUAUUAUAUCUUUGUUGCUUUGGCAGGCCGCCCUCGGGCACCGGCUCCGGCUGGAUCGCGCCUGCCAGAGGAAACCCAAACUCUGAAUGUUAGUGUCGUCUGAGUACUAUCUAAUAGUUAAAACUUUCAACAACGGAUCUCUUGGUUCUG
rnacentral:misc_RNA from 1 species